UUUAAUGGCAGAAUCUUUGGAGAAAUCAUAGUUCUUGGGCUCUGGGGGAACUACGACCGCAAGGCUGAAACUUGAAGGAAUUGACGGAAGGGCACACCAGGGGUGGAGCCUGUGGCUUAAUUUGAAUCAACACGGGGAAACUUACCAGGACCAGAUGUUUUUUAUGACUGACAGGCUUCGGGUCUUUCAGGAUAUUGUUUUUGGUGGUGCAUGGCCGUUGGUGGUGCGUGGGUUGACCUGUCUAGCGUUGAUUCAGCUAACGAGCGAGAUUAUCGCCAAUUAUUUACUUUGCCGAAGUCCUUCGGUUAAAGUUCUAAUUGGGACUCCCUGCGAUUUUAGCAGGUGGAAGAGGGUAGCAAUAACAGGUCCGUGAUGCCCUUUAGAUGCUCUGGGCUGCACGCGUGCUACAAUGUUAGGAUCAAUAGGACUGCGAGCCUGAGAGGGUGCGCUACUCUUAUAAUCCCUAACGUAGUUUU
rnacentral:rRNA from 1 species